CUACGGGUCGCAGCAGUGGGGAAUAUUGCACAAUGGAGGAAACUCUGAUGCAGCAACGCCGCGUGGAGGAUGACACUUUUCGGAGCGUAAACUCCUUUUAUAUAGGAAGAAGAUGACGGUACUAUAUGAAUAAGCGCCGGCUAACUCCGUGCCAGCAGCCGCGGUAAUACGGAGGGCGCAAGCGUUACUCGGAAUCACUGGGCGUAAAGGGCGUGUAGGCGGAUUAAAAAGUCAGAAGUGAAAUCCUAUAGCUUAACUAUAGAACUGCUUCUGAAACUCUUAAUCUAGAAUAUGGGAGAGGUAGAUGGAAUUUCUGGUGUAGGGGUAAUAUCCGUAGAGAUCAGAAGGAAUACCGAUUGCGAAGGCGAUCUACUAGAACAUUAUUGACGCUGAGACGCGAAAGCGUGGGGAGCAAACAGGAUUAGAUACCCUGGUAGUC
rnacentral:rRNA from 1 species